rnacentral:lncRNA from 1 species
UCAUUUGGAUCAUUUUUGCAUUUUUUAUGAUUUUUACAAAACAAGCAAAAUAAUUGGAUAAACAAAUGGAAAUGGAGGGAAAAGAAUUUAUUUGAAUUAAAUCUCAAAAAUCCUGAACCGUUGGAUGUGGCACGCAUAAGCAAUCAAAGGCUCACGUUUGAAGCAUCAAAAUGCAGCGCUCCAUUUAUGAGUCAACACACUUAGUAAUCAAUUCAACGCGCGCGUGGCCAGUCAAAG